UGUUUUAUAUGCUAUUUUUAUCAGAAACCACACAUAUUCACAUACAUUAAGUGUAAUUAAAGUAAUUCAAUAUUAGUUAUUUUUGAAUUUGGCAGAUCUGGAGCCCAUCCAACCACAGUCCUCCAAUGAAGGUUAAUUCCCAUAAUCCUAGAGGUGAAACUCCACGUCUGUGUGGUAAAGACUGAGUUUGUUAAAGUAGAGAUUGAUGACAUGAGCAACCCAGAAACAUCCAGAAUAAAUCAUGAAGAUACUGAGUAACAAACAGAUCGGAUGGAGGUGAAAAGGCAUUUCAUGUUUUUCUGUGAAUCGCUUGUAUUCCUCAAUUAUCUGGUGCCCAUCCCACAACAGUCCACCAAUGAAGGUUUGCAAUAUUCCAAUCAUCCUAUAAGAAGAGGAACUCUGGCUCUGUAACAUACCAUGGUAAAGACUGAGUUUAUUAAAGAGGAGAUUGAUAACAUGAGCGAUCCAGUGAAUCAUGAAGAUGAUGAGGAACAAACAGGUUGGUGUUUGUUCUUGAGUCUUUAUUAUAUUAUCGACGUCUGAAUAAGCAAUAUACCAAUGAUAAAUGAUACAGAAAAUGCAUUAUAACUAUAGCAGCUGAUCGUAUUAUCAAGGAAAUGACAGAACUACUCUUUAGCACUACAAAAAAUCUGAUACUUACAGACAUAGUCGCUUUCUGCUGUUAAAUCAGGUUCACUU
ensembl:lncRNA